GGGCGGAUGGCGAAACUGGUAGACGCACCACACUCAAAAUGUGGCGACCUUACGGUCAUGAGAGUUCAAAUCUCUCUCUGCCCA
rnacentral:tRNA from 1 species